GCUGAGAAACUCAGGGACAAAAAGAGAAUAUCCCUUCAUGACCGGCAAAUUAAAUAUAACCCACAUGUGGACAGAGAAGUGAAUCCCAGACUUGUUACGGCCGGCAUGUGUUCCAGAGGGGACCCGGAGAGGACUGUAAUCCACAUUGUGGAUGGUCGUGAACAUUUUAACACAAUUGACUGACAAAGGUUAAGGUAUAACUAACUUUAAGUUUUUAUAUUGUAUUAUUGUGUAUAGUUGUUUGUAUAGUAGCUGCACAGUUUUUAUUUUAUAUAAAGGAUAAGUUAUCACAUGAUUAUAUAUCGCUGUUUGUAUAGUUGCUUGCUGUGUAGUUUAUUUAUCUAUAAUAUAUAUAGAAAUAAUAUUUACAUCUAUAUUGUUCAUCUAU